rnacentral:hammerhead_ribozyme from 1 species
AUCCAGCUGACGAGUCCCAAAUACGACGAAAUGCGCAUCCUGGAU